rnacentral:rRNA from 1 species
CAGCCGCCGCGGGAAUACGAAGGGUGCAAGCGUUAAUCAGAAUUACUGGGCGUAAAGCGUGCGUAGGCGGUUUGUUAAGUCUGUUGUGAAAUCCCCGGGCUCAACCUGGGAAUGGCAAUGGAUACUGGCAAGCUAGAGUGUGUCAGAGGAUGGUGGAAUUCCCGGUGUAGCGGUGAAAUGCGUAGAGAUCGGGAGGAACAUCAGUGGCGAAGGCGGCCAUCUGGGACAACACUGACGCUGAGGCACGAAAGCGUGGGGAGCAAACAGGAUUAGAUACCCCAGUAGUCCUGUCUCUUAUACA